UUAAGAAUUUCACGACCUGUCUCAACGCUCCUAAUCCACAGUGGCUCCUCAGCAGUAGCCAUUUUCGUCAACUCUUCCAUUGCUUGAUUAACGAUCUCCAUGAUUCUUGACUUCUCCAGCCCAAAAAUUCCAGUGUAAAANNCAAUGAACUUCUGUUCUCUGGCUCAUUUCCGGCAGAACAUGAGGGCGCUGCCCCUGGAGGGUGCUUUCCUAGAGCUGCUCGAAGUUUUUCCACCUCGGCUUUGAGUUUGGCAUUUUCAA
rnacentral:misc_RNA from 1 species